UUUCCGUAGGUGAACCUGCGGAAGGAUCAUUACCGAGUUAGGGUUGCCUUCUAGGUGCCCGACCUCCCAACCCUUUGUCUAUGAUACCACAGUUGCUUCGGCGGCUCGCCGCAAGGCCCUCGGCUUCGGCUGGGGCGUGGCCGCCGGAGGACCCCCAACCCUGAAUUACAGUGUCGUCCGAGUACUAUAUAAUAGUUAAAACUUUCAACAACGGAUCUCUUGGUUCUGGCAUCGAUGAAGAACGCAGC
rnacentral:misc_RNA from 1 species